rfam:Salmonella enterica subsp. enterica serovar Macclesfield str. S-1643 chromosome, complete genome.
UUUUUUAUAAAUCUUUGAAAUAAAAUAGUUUUAAUUUAAAUAUUAUCUGGAUUUCUAAAAAAUAAUUAAAAAUCAUUAAUAUAAUUUUUUUCUGCCGUGGUUGGAUUAUCUCCUGAAAAUGCCGUGGGUUCUCGUCCUUCAGGACGAUAUUCUUUUGAG